rnacentral:rRNA from 1 species
GUGGAGCAUGUGGUUUAAUUCGAAGCAACGCGCAGAACCUUACCUGGGCUUGAAAUCCCCGGACCGCCAUGGAAACAUGGUUUCCUCUUCGGAGGCCGGGUGACAGGUGCUGCAUGGCUGUCGUCAGCUCGUGUCGUGAGAUGUUGGGUUAAGUCCCGCAACGAGCGCAACCCUUGUCGUUAGUUGCCAUCAUUAAGUUGGGCACUCUAGCGAGACUGCCGGUGUCAAACCGGAGGAAGGUGGGGAUGACGUCAAGUCCUCAUGGCCCUUAUGUCCAGGGCUACACACGUGCUACAAUGGCAGGUACAAAGAGCAGCGAACUCGCGAGGGCAAGCGAAUCUCAAAAAGCCUGUCUCAGUACGGAUUGGAGUCUGCAACUCGACUCCAUGAAGGCGGAAUCGCUAGUAAUCGCGGAUCAGCAUGCCGCGGUGAUACGUUCCCGGGCCUUGUACACACCGCCCGUCACACCAUGGGAGUUGACUACUCCAGAAGUCGUUGAGCGAACCUUCGGGAAGCAGGCGCCC